GAGUGGCGAACUGGUGAGUAACACGUGGGAAACCUGCCCAGAAGCGGGGGAUAACACCUGGAAACAGAUGCUAAUACCGCAUAACAACUUGGACCGCAUGGUCCGAGNUUGAAAGAUGGCUUCGGCUAUCACUUUUGGAUGGUCCCGCGGCGUAUUAGCUAGAUGGUGGGGUAACGGCUCACCAUGGCAAUGAUACGUAGCCGACCUGAGAGGGUAAUCGGCCACAUUGGGACUGAGACACGGCCCAAACUCCUACGGGAGGCAGCAGUAGGGAAUCUUCCACAAUGGACGAAAGUCUGAUGGAGCAACGCCGCGUGAGUGAAGAAGGGUUUCGGCUCGUAAAACUCUGUUGUUAAAGAAGAACAUAUCUGAGAGUAACUGUUCAGGUAUUGACGGUAUUUAACCAGAAAGCCACGGCUAACUACGUGCCAGCAGCCGCGGUAAUACGUAGGUGGCAAGCGUUGUCCGGAUUUAUUGGGCGUAAAGCGAGCGCAGGCGGUUUUUUAAGUCUGAUGUGAAAGCCUUCGGCUCAACCGAAGAAGUGCAUCGGAAACUGGGAAACUUGAGUGCAGAAGAGGACAGUGGAACUCCAUGUGUAGCGGUGAAAUGCGUAGAUAUAUGGAAGAACACCAGUGGCGAAGGCGGCUGUCUGGUCUGUAACUGACGCUGAGGCUCGAAAGUAUGGGUAGCAAACAGGAUUAGAUACCCUGGUAGUCCAUACCGUAAACGAUGAAUGCUAAGUGUUGGAGGGUUUCCGCCCUUCAGUGCUGCAGCUAACGCAUUAAGCAUUCCGCCUGGGGAGUACGGCCGCAAGGCUGAAACUCAAAGGAAUUGACGGGGGCCCGCACAAGCGGUGGAGCAUGUGGUUUAAUUCGAAGCUACGCGAAGAACCUUACCAGGUCUUGACAUACUAUGCAAAUCUAAGAGAUUAGACGUUCCCUUCGGGGACAUGGAUACAGGUGGUGCAUGGUUGUCGUCAGCUCGUGUCGUGAGAUGUUGGGUUAAGUCCCGCAACGAGCGCAACCCUUAUUAUCAGUUGCCAGCAUUAAGUUGGGCACUCUGGUGAGACUGCCGGUGACAAACCGGAGGAAGGUGGGGAUGACGUCAAAUCAUCAUGCCCCUUAUGACCUGGGCUACACACGUGCUACAAUGGAUGGUACAACGAGUUGCGAACUCGCGAGAGUAAGCUAAUCUCUUAAAGCCAUUCUCAGUUCGGAUUGUAGGCUGCAACUCGCCUACAUGAAGUCGGAAUCGCUAGUAAUCGCGGAUCAGCAUGCCGCGGUGAAUACGUUCCCGGGCCUUGUACACACCGCCCGUCACACCAUGAGAGUUUGUAACACCCAAAGUCGGUGGGGUAACCUUUUAGGAACCAGCCGCCUAAGGUGGGACAGAUGAUUAGGGUGAAG
rnacentral:rRNA from 1 species